AAAGACUUAGUCCUAACCUUACCAUUAAUUUUUGCUAGAAGUAUACAUGCAAGUAUCCGCGCCCCAGUGUAAAUGCCCUUAAUUCUUCACAAGAAAAAGGAGCGGGUAUCAGGCACGCCCAUAGUUGCAGCCCAAGACGUCUUGCUCAGCCACACCCCCACGGGUACUCAGCAGUAACUAACAUUAAGCAAUAAGUGAAAACUUGACUUAGUCAUAGCAAGUAUAGGGUUGGUAAAUCUUGUGCCAGCCACCGCGGUCACACAAGAGACCCAAAUUAAUAGUACACGGCGUAAAGAGUGGUAUUACGAAUAUCAAUAACAACUAAGACCAACAUGCGACUAAGCUGUCAUAAGCCCAAGAUGCAUUUAAGGCCCUUCCUUAACAUGAUCUUAGCACUCUGAUUAAUAGCCCCCACGAAAGCCAAGGCACAAACUGGGAUUAGAUACCCCACUAUGCUUGGCCCUAAAUCUAGAUGUUUAUUCCACCAAAACAUCCGCCCGAGAACUACGAGCACAAACGCUUAAAACUCUAAGGACUUGGCGGUACCCCAAACCCACCUAGAGGAGCCUGUUCUAUAAUCGAUAAUCCACGUUACACCCGACCGCUCCUUGCCAAAACAGCCUAUAUACCGCCGUCGUCAGCUCACCUUCACUGAGAGAACAAUAGUGAGCUUAAUAGCUCUGCCCGCUAAUAAGACAGGUCAAGGUAUAGCCUAUGGAACGGAAGAAAUGGGCUACAUUUUCUAAAAUAGAAUACUCUACGAAAAGGGGAUGUGAAACCACCCCUAGAAGGCGGAUUUAGCAGUAAAGCGAGAUAAUAAAGCUCGCUCUAAGCCGGCCCUGGGGUACGUACAUACCGCCCGUCACCCUCCUCACAAGCAAGCAACUACUAUAAAUAAUAUAUUUAAUAGCUAAAGAUGAGGUAAGUCGUAACAAGGUAAGUGUACCGGAAGGUGUACUUAGCACAU
rnacentral:ncRNA from 1 species